UAAACACACACACACGCACGCACACGCACAUAUACACACACUCAGCCUAUCUUAACUGUUUUCUGUCAAGUUUUCUCUCUUCCCCACAUUUAGUAUUUUUAUCCUCAUGGAUAAGCAGCGGGUUUUAGCUUCGCUGCGAACGUUGAUAUUAAUUUUUUAUUUUCUGUGUAUUUCACGAACGUUUCAUUAUGUUCAAGCCCACGGACGCUUAUGGGAACCCGUUGCUCGCUCUAGUAUGUGGCGGAAACACUACGGGACCCCUACAAAUUACCAGGACAACGAACUUUACUGUGGCGGAGUGACCGUGCAAUAUAAAAAAAAUGGAGGUAAAUGUGGUGUAUGUGGAGAUCCAUAUGAUGGACCCCGUCCCAAUGAAGUAAAUGGAAGAUUUGCUACAGGAAUCAUUGUCAGAAAUUAUACAGAAGGCCAACAAGUUGAAGCACAGGUUCAACUGACAGCAAAUCACAAAGGCUGGUUCAUGUUUACACUAUGUCCCAAGAAAAAGUAUUCUGACCCAGAACCUCUAGAUUGUUUUGAGACUCAUCCCCUGCAAAUAGCUGGAAAGAAUAACACGUACAAGUUUCCAAUUACAGCUGAUAUGAAAUUAGUGAAGGUAAACCUCUCGUUACCUAAAGGACUUUCAUGUCCAUAUUGUGUGUUCCGGUGGAAAUAUAAUGCUGGUAAUAGCUGGGGUGUCGAUCCCGUUACGAACGAAGGAUGCAUAGGAUGUGGUAAUCAAGAACAAUUCUAUGGCUGUGCUGACGUCACCAUUUUCCCAGAUCCUAACAAAACAUCUUCAGCUUCAAAAUUUACUUGGAACAAAUAUUAUUUGUGGUUGCUUCUAACUGCUGCUCUUGUCACUGGUUCAGUUUAUUCUGCAAAUAUCUGAAAAAUAAACUAUUGCUGACUUUUUAAUGAACCACAUUCCAUAGACUUACAAAUAAUCACAACUUAAUCUUUACAUGUAUGGGGUGUAUGUGCAUAUGUAUGUAUGUAUGUAUGUAUGUAUGUAUGUAUGUAUGUAUGU
rnacentral:misc_RNA from 1 species